GAAUUCGCCCUUAGAGUUUGAUCCUGGCUCAGGACGAACGCUGGCGGCGCGCCUAACACAUGCAAGUCGAACGAGAGAGAGGAAGCUUGCUUCCUCAAUCGAGUGGCGAACGGGUGAGUAACGCGUGAGGAACCUGCCUCAAAGAGGGGGACAACAGUUGGAAACGACUGCUAAUACCGCAUAAGCCCACAGCUCGGCAUCGAGCAGAGGGAAAAGGAGCAAUCCGCUUUGAGAUGGCCUCGCGUCCGAUUAGCUAGUUGGUGAGGUAACGGCCCACCAAGGCGACGAUCGGUAGCCGGACUGAGAGGUUGAACGGCCACAUUGGGACUGAGACACGGCCCAGACUCCUACGGGAGGCAGCAGUGGGGAAUAUUGCACAAUGGGGGAAACCCUGAUGCAGCGACGCCGCGUGGAGGAAGAAGGUCUUCGGAUUGUAAACUCCUGUUGUUGAGGAAGAUAAUGACGGUACUCAACAAGGAAGUGACGGCUAACUACGUGCCAGCAGCCGCGGUAAAACGUAGGUCACAAGCGUUGUCCGGAAUUACUGGGUGUAAAGGGAGCGCAGGCGGGAGAACAAGUUGGAAGUGAAAUCCAUGGGCUCAACCCAUGAACUGCUUUCAAAACUGUUUUUCUUGAGUAGUGCAGAGGUAGGCGGAAUUCCCGGUGUAGCGGUGGAAUGCGUAGAUAUCGGGAGGAACACCAGUGGCGAAGGCGGCCUACUGGGCACCAACUGACGCUGAGGCUCGAAAGUGUGGGUAGCAAACAGGAUUAGAUACCCUGGUAGUCCACACCGUAAACGAUGAUUACUAGGUGUUGGAGGAAUUGACCCCUUCAGUGCCGCAGUUUAACACAAUAAGUAAUCCACUGGGGGAGUACGACCGCAAGGUUGAAACUCAAAGGAAUUGACGGGGGCCCGCACAAGCAGUGGAGUAUGUGGUUUAAUUCGACGCAACGCGAAGAACCUUACCAAGUCUUGACAUCCCUUGACGAUGCUGGAAACAGUAUUUCUCUUCGGAGCAAGGAGACAGGUGGUGCAUGGUUGUCGUCAGCUCGUGUCGUGAGAUGUUGGGUUAAGUCCCGCAACGAGCGCAACCCUUAUGGUCAGUUACUACGCAAGAGGACUCUGGCCAGACUGCCGUUGACAAAACGGAGGAAGGUGGGGAUGACGUCAAAUCAUCAUGCCCUUUAUGACUUGGGCUACACACGUACUACAAUGGCGUUAAACAAAGAGAAGCAAGACCGCGAGGUGGAGCAAAACUCAGAAACAACGUCCCAGUUCGGACUGCAGGCUGCAACUCGCCUGCACGAAGUCGGAAUUGCUAGUAAUCGUGGAUCAGCAUGCCACGGUGAAUACGUUCCCGGGCCUUGCACACACCGCCCGUCA
rnacentral:rRNA from 1 species